AAGUCGUAACAAGGUUUCCGUAGGUGAACCUGCGGAAGGAUCAUUAAAGAGACGUUGCCCUUCGGGGUAUACCUCCCACCCAUUGUUUAUUUACCUUUGUUGCUUUGGCAGUCCCGGCUUCGGCCCACCGGCUCCGGCUGGUCAGUGACUGCCGAAGAUACCAAAACUCUGUUUGUUAAUAUUGUCUGAGUACUAUAUAAUAGUUAAAACUUUCAACAACGGAUCUCUUGGUUCUGGCAUCGAUGAAGAACGCAGCGAAAUGCGAUAAGUAAUGUGAAUUGCAGAAUUCAGUGAAUCAUCGAAUCUUUGAACGCACAUUGCGCCCUCUGGUAUUCCGGGGGGCAUGGCUGUUCGAGCGUCAUUACAACCCUCAAGCUCUGCUUGGUAUUGGGCACUGCAGGUUUCUGCAGGCCUUAAAAUCAGUGGCGGUGCCAUUCGGCUUCAAGCGUAGUAAUUCUUCUCGCUUUGGAGACCCGAGUGGUUACUAGCCAACAACCCCCAAUUUUUUCAGGUUGACCUCGGAUCAGGUAGGGAUACCCGCUGAACUUAAGCAUAUCAAUAAGUGGAGGAAAAGAAACCAACAGGGAUUACCUCAGUAACGGCGAGUGAAGCGGUAACAGCUCAAAUUUGAAAUCUGGCCUCACGGCCCGAGUUGUAAUUUGCAGAGGAUGCUUCGGGCGUGGUCUAGUCUAAGUUCCUUGGAAUAGGACGUCAUAGAGGGUGAGAAUCCCGUAUGCGACUGGGUGCCUAAGUCCAUGUGAAGCUCCUUCAACGAGUCGAGUUGUUUGGGAAUGCAGCUCUAAAUGGGUGGUAAAUUUCAUCUAAAGCUAAAUAUUGGCCAGAGACCGAUAGCGCACAAGUAGAGUGAUCGAAAGAUGAAAAGCACUUUGGAAAGAGAGUUAAACAGUACGUGAAAUUGCUGAAAGGGAAACGCUUGAAGUCAGUCAUGUCGGCUGGAAAUCAGGCUUGCUUCUGCAAGGUGCACUUUCUAGUUGAUAGGUCAGCAUCAAUUUUGACCGUUGGAUAAAGGCAUUGGGAAUGUGGCAUCUUUGGAUGUGUUAUAGCCCAUUGUUGGAUACAGCGGUUGGGAUUGAGGAACUCAGCAUGCCCCCUUGGGGUUCAGGUCUCGGCCAUGUUCAUGCUUAGGAUGCUGGCGUAAUGGCUUUAAUCGACC
rnacentral:rRNA from 1 species